CUGAGGUCAGUUUGGUGUGAUUGGCUGGUUCUGAGCUCAGUUUGGUGUGAUUGGCUGGUUCUGAGGUUAGUGUGAUGUGAUUGGCUGGUUCUGAGGUCAGUUUGGUGUGAUUGGCUGGUUCUGAGGUCAGUUUGGUGUGAUUGGCUGGUUCUGAGGUUAGUGUGAUGUGAUUGGCUGGUUCUGAGGUCAGUUUGGUGUGAUUGGCUGGUUCUGAGGUCAGUCUGAUGUGAUUGGCUGGUUCUGAGGUCAGUCUGAUGUGAUUGGCUGGUUCUGAGGUCAGUCUGGUGUGAUUGGCUGGUUCUGAGGUCAGUCUGGUGUGAUUGGC